UCAAACUUGGUCAUUUAGAGGAAGUAAAAGUCGUAACAAGGUUUCCGUAGGUGAACCUGCGGAAGGAUCAUUAUUGAAUGAACUUGGUCAGGCUGUUGCUGGCUCCUCGGGGCAUGUGCACGCCUGUCGCCAACUUCUCUUUACCACCUGUGCACCUUUUUGUAGACUUGGAAGCACCCCUCCGAGGUCAACUCGGGUUUGGAGGGACUGCUGCGGUGCCACUUCUUUGUGCCCCAGCUUUUUCCCUCGCCUGUUCUCUGGUCUACGUCCCUAUUGUAUCGCCGUAUGUCAAAGAAUGUAUCAUUGCAGGCUUUGAUGCCUGAAAACCUAAUACAACUUUCAACAACGGAUCUCUUGGCUCUCGCAUCGAUGAAGAACGCAGC
rnacentral:misc_RNA from 1 species